CCAGCGGCCGGUGUGUGCGGUGCUGCUCCCGGCGCGGUGACGGCUUCUGGAUGGAGUUUCAAUUAUUGUACGAGACCACAAUGUGCGGCAGUACGUAUGCCGCCGUUGGUACCGAGAUUAGAAACGUCCAUCUUGAUCUGCCAGUCAAAACUCAACUGCGGCAGACGGAAACUUCAGGUCUCUCAAGGUACGGCUGGCAGUUCGCGAGUUGAGGACACUGCUCCAGUACACCGACCAAUGGACGUCACUUCAAUGGAUCACGUGACCUACUUGACCUUGUGGUGCUGAUGUCCUGCUGGGGGCCGUCCGAGCGUCCGGUUGUUUCAUCCUGUUCGAAGGAGCCGCUCGAAGACCACAGCUCAUGUGCGGCAGCACAAGCCGCCGUUGGUACCGAGAUUAGAGACGUCUUUCUCCCGGUCAAAACUGGACUGCGGGAUAUGGAAACUUCAGCUCU